UACGUAGGGUGCGAGCGUUGUCCGGAAUUAUUGGGCGUAAAGGGCUCGUAGGCGGUUUGUCGCGUCGGGAGUGAAAACGCCGUGCUUAACACGGCGCUUGCUUUCGAUACGGGCAGACUAGAGGUAUGCAGGGGAGAACGGAAUUCCUGGUGUAGCGGUGAAAUGCGCAGAUAUCAGGAGGAACACCAGUGGCGAAGGCGAGUCCCUGGACAACACCUGACACUGAGGCACGAAAGCUAGGGGGAGCAAACAGG
rnacentral:rRNA from 1 species